rnacentral:lncRNA from 1 species
AGUUUAGGCUUGCUACGGGUCCCGGCGGCCUUAAGCCGAUCUGGAUCCUAGCGCCGAGCAGUUUGGGCCGUUACAGAGGGGUAUCGGUUUUCGGGCUGUUACAGAUGGUAUCAGAGCAUAGGGCCUCUUGAGUACGGUGUAAUGAGCAAAGAUGCUCAGGGAUUAGAGGUAUCUCACAUCGGAAAGAGGUUUUUGUCUUUAGGAGGGCAAGCACAAUAAGAAAGAUCGAGA